rnacentral:lncRNA from 1 species
GGGAUAUAAAAAUAAUGCAUUGUAUGCCGGAAGGGAUAAAUCUGGGGCUGAGUACAAGCAAAACAAGACCAAAGGAAGCUACCUGAGCAGGUAUUCCAGAUACUCAUGUCAUACACCAAGGUUGUACCAGUGCCCCUUUCUCUGUGACACAUCCAUCCACUGGAAACUUUCGUACAACUAGCUGAAAGAAGAGAAACAUCCUAUUUCAUGUCACUGGAGCCCUAAUGAUCGCAGCCAUUUCAGGAAAUGCCAUCAAUUACAGUGAGGAGCUCAUUCAGAAGUGAAAGAUGAGUUCCAUUCUCUGUUACUUAGAGGGUGGAUAUCCUCCUCCACUGAAUGCAAACUAUUAAGUAAUGAAAAGACAGCACUCCAAGCAAUAUAGAUUUAUAGGCCAACCUGGCAAUCAAGGGUAACUGACAUGAAAAUGGAUUGCUUCACAUUUUAAUUACAAAGAUACUCUUCAGUACCAUAAAUUGAAGAAAACACUAACUUUUUGUGGCUACUGUAAUUGUCAAAGUAUAAUUACCUGUGUUUUCUCACCUACGUAUUUGAGAUAGAGACAAAACCAAGUUAUUUUCCACACUAACUUGAUUUUUGGACCAUCUCCCUGCUAAACACUUCACAUUUCAGUUCCUCUCUGAGCCUUUAGCGGAGAUUAAAGUAGCAGUUAAAGCUGGCUAUGCCCAACAGUCAAGGCAAAUUUUGUUUACAAGAUGCUUCCUGUUACAGUGUUUGUAUUAUCUAAAAAACAGGC